GGCCAUAGUUCAGCUCCGACACUCUCGCUAACGCUCGAGGUCGGAGUCCCGACUGAGUGAAACGAAUGUCGGGAAUGGAUAGAGCAACAGCCUUCUAAGCUGUGGGUCGCACGUUCGAUUCGUGCCGGGGUCACCA
rnacentral:tRNA from 1 species